AAAAUUUUAACACGAUCAAAGAUUAUUUAUGGAAAGGUAAAGGGAAAAAAAGUGGGAUGGAAUAAUUUGCGAGCGGAAGAAAUUCGCGUUUCUUCGGGAUCCCGCCUAUCCUCGGAUGAGAUUUUAAUUCAACUUCGGUCGUUAAUCGCGCCGCGUUGGAAACGGAAUUAAUUAAAGCUGCUUAACAGCCGGGGCCGGCCAAUUAUUGGAUUUACAACGCUAUCGUUGGCAGGGGUUAAGCUGAUAUACCGAUGAAUCGGGCUCCGGUUUUCCAUACCGAAACGCGUUUGCGUUUUCGUCCCCCCUCCUUUUAUUCCAUUCCAUCGACAAAUUUUCUUCUAUCCUUUUCCCCUUCUAAAUGCUCGAGAUAACUUUUAUCGUCGGAUUAGAAUUGAAAUAAAAUCGAGUCGAAGGAGAGAUAAACACGUUAUUCGCACGCGUGCGUUUACACGGCCUUUGUUUUCGUUUAUUCGAUCUUUCGACAUUUUCCAGAGAAUUUGUACGUACAAUUUAACCACAGAGCGAUUCUUGGAAAGGAACGACUCGCAAUCACGAACGUCGAACGUAAACAACAUACCUUACGGUCUUCUUCCUUUACGAAUACUACGCAUUCAUUAUCGCUUAGUCGGUCGCGCGAACUGGUAGCCUAUUCGUCGUUGGCUCGUCGACCAGUCGAUCUGAAAAUCCUUUUCCGUUUGUCGUUUUUUUAAACUCGAAGUGUUUUAAAAUUAACAUGUUCUUCCGCUCGUUUCCAUCGGGAGCCGUGAUAGUGAUAGUGUGCUCGUUCGUUUGGGGAAGCGAAAGUAUCCUUCUUUAUCCCAACAACACGUUGUUCCAGUUCACGAUCGGCGUCUCGGUUCCGGUGUCCAUGAACAAAAGGGGAAGCGUGGUGUUCUCGUCCGCAUUCCAAUUCAAUUACAGACUUCCGUCCAACUUGUCGCAGCUCGAGCCUACGAUAACGUUGGCCAGGGAGGCGAGGGAUCUGAAUCUGCAGGACGCUUACGACGCGAUCGAGAGUCUGUUGGAUCGGCACGGUUGGGAGGACGGGAGAGAGUGCCUUCUGAAGACCAUCUGCGAACUCGCGGAGACACCGUUCGGAAGGACACGUCGUGACGUUCUCGAGGAGGUGAUCCACUUAAUUUUAACGCCGAGCGAGGACUUGCCGGAUUCGGUUAACUCGACUCGCCGGAUCGUCGACCACUCGUACCGAGAUGCCGAACUAUUGGGAAGAUCCGGAGGCGACUGCAUCCUCGCCUAUCCCGAUUGCACCGAUUCGCCCCUCGAAACGUUCACGGAGAUCGCGUCCCCCUAGGGAGGAACGCGACAUUUCGACGACAUUGAUUUCGCCGAACUUUGGAGAGCCCUCUCCCUCGAUCGAUCGAUUUCCAACUGUGGACGACGUUCGUCGAUGAUCCGUCCAAGAUUUUCUCCACGUGAAAAAAUAUAUAUUAUACUUGGCGCGAGAGACGAUCGUUCGAGAAGCUGGUAUACCUUUUCUCUACACCUUUCGCAUAUAACGCGUGAGGAAGAGGGUGUAUGGGAGAGCGUGACUUUAUCGUAAAAGAAUUUAUUACGGAGGGGUUUGGACGAGGGGAGUGGGGGAUGGUGGCACAGUGCUAAGUAAAUUUCGUUGUAAGUGAGAGCUGCCCUGGAAAGGCUCUAUGUAUUUCAACCAUCCCAACCUUCCUUCCUAUGAUAUAAUUGGCAAUAAAAGAGCUUUUUAUAAUUGUAAACCAGAUUCGCUUAAUCUCGAUUAAUCUCGAGAAAUUAUCAUUCAUUUCUUUUCUAGGUCGACCUGUUGUCAACGAGGAAAUUCGAUCUUUGAAGAGUUAUUUUGUAUAAUCCUUUCUUUUUUUUCAAGGAUAAGAAUUUAUUGGUGAACGUGAUUCGAUCGGACAUUUGGAUACGAUAUUCGAGUCGGUCAGACUUUUCGAUGGAGAUGCUCGAACGAAGAAGGAACGAAGAAUGGAACGGAGAAAGUCCUAAGUAAAUUUCGCUGUUGAUGCUCGUCUCUGAAAUAUACGCGUCCACCUAUUUCUCUCGAUACCGUUGUUUGUCGCCGUUUUCUAUCGCCAUUUCCCAUUUUAUUCCCUUCUUCCAACAACGAUUCAUCGCGCGUUUGUCUUCCGUAUACGACGUAUUCCGAUAACGUUUCACAGCCUCGAGCAGGGUCCGUGUAUCUUUGAAAACGAGAUCCUCCUCGAGAGUAAGAUACGUUUCGUAUCACGUAUUCUUGGAGAAGAAUCUACCACCGAGGAAAUUUUCUCGAUAACUUGCAUCGACUCGUUAUCAACCGCCGCGUAGACGACGUUGACGAGGGAUAGGGAUAGGCGAUAUUAUAACAAGGAAACAUCAUUUUCAUCGCUUCCUCCUUCCCUCCCUCUCUCUCUUCUGCAGGGGAAGGAUACUUGUUACGAUCCGGGGAAGAGAAGCCGGGAAUUUCAGCAAGACGUGGCAACUUUGUUCUCUCUGUUGGAAAGACUACUCUUCCCUUCCCUUUUGUUUAUAUAUUUCACUUCCCUUUUGUCACGCCGGAAGCGGAACUUUGGGAUCUUAUCCUUGCCGAAACUUAUCUCGCGAGUUGUCCAAAGUUGAAGCAAUCGUUCUUUCUCUCUCUCUCUCUCUCUCUCUGGUCGCGAGAAAGACAAGAGACGUGCUCUUCUCUUCCUUCUUUGGAGGAUAGAGGGGAGGAUCUCGUCGAUGAUUCGUCCAUUCCGUUUUUUUUCGAAAAACGAUGUUUUUGUCCGUGCGACGAAGAGAAGUAAUAUAAAACGUCAACUUAAAGAUCGGUUUGAAGAAAUGGUCAGUUUGUUUUCUCGUCUCGUUAACGAAAACGGGGGAAGUGACGAUUGAAACCGGUCGUCGACGAGAAGCGAGAGAGAGAGAGAGAGAGAGAGAGGAGGGCGGAGAGGAGGAAAAGGGAUGGGCGGGCUGGGUUGUCUAGCAAGGACGGAAAAUUAGCUCGUCCGACCGAACUACAGUCGGUUGUACGAACCUUCUUGGUGCGCAACUAUGCUCCUAUGAGUUGACAGAUGAUACGUUAAUUUCGCCGGAGUGGGUGGGCAAGUUCGAGAAUCCCCGACCAGACUUGUGGCCUACGAGUUUCGAGUUGCGGCAGCGCGUUUGGGGAAAGGGGAAGAAAUUACGCUCGAAAUUCGGAUAGUUUCUUUCGUCUCGUGGAGAAUCGAAGAAUUCUUCUGAUCCAGCUGAAGAAGGAGGGAAAUACUGCGAAAUUCUCGAUCAAAUUUCUCGAUCGAUCUUUCCAUUUCCAGGAGGAGGAAUCGAA